rnacentral:lncRNA from 1 species
AGGAAGAGAGAGGAGUUAGGACGAGAGUGCCGCAGGGUCCUCCCACACCAGCAUCCCCUCUUCUGUGGUCCCGGGUGGAUGCUGAGCCAUUGGGUGUCUCUCUCAUCUGCUAAUAGAAAUGGCACCCCGGAGAGCUGGUCUUUUCAUUCCAUUUCUCCCGACCUCCCUCAGCAAAUGCUAAUUGAAUUUCCAGUUCUGUGAGAGAGAACUGGAAUCGGAUUCCCAGGCCCCAGGGAGUGGUGCCUGGCAUAACCACUGCUCUGCAAAACAACGCUGCACUUCUGUGGGUGAAAGUGCAGCCGCUCCAUUGCUUUGCUUUGAAUGAGCACUUUUUCUCGUCAGCUAGAGGUGCCAGGGCAGCCGAGGGGAACUGCCAGCGACAACAGGAGCAACUUCUUUUUCGGCGGGACCCUAGCACACCCCUUGCUACACGCGCCAGCAAAGAGCAAAGCCACGUGUCCAUCCCUGGGGACGUCCCUCCUAUGUGCCAUCUCAUCUGCCACACCAGACAAAUCAAAUGCACAGAGAGCUUUGUCUGCAAACUUUGACUUGAAGGGGUCUUAAAACCAUGCAUUUACACGUUUGGGGGACAAAUAAUUUCGAUGUUUAAAAGAGAGUUGGCAGCUAAUUGAGAUGGUGCACAGGUGUGCUGUGGCCCACGGUGUGGAGGUAGCCAGGCGUGGCCAUCCCUCUAGAAAGAGGAAUGCGUUGGUCACUCAGAAUGUCACUUAGAUCGACGAAGCAGAACUGCACUUUUUUUGCAUUCAAAUUUUUAUUCAAAGUUUAGUCUCUCUCCUUGGGUUUCCCCUCUUUUAUGAAAUGAUCAAUUUUGGCGAAGAGCCCCCAGAAAGCAAGAUAGAAAAGAAAUAUGCUCUUUACCGUGGCCGAUCAGCAACGAACCAACACUGUCCUCAUCUAAUUCUACGUCUUCCACACUGCCCAGUAACACAAAUAACCAGAGCGCAGACGCCAAGAAUCCUUCCAAGUAACGCAGCUAACAGACCAAGGUGACAGUUCUGACUUCUUGGGGGGUUUUCCAAGUACAUACGUAGCAUUAUAAACAAGCCUCUAUGUUGUGCUUACACAACUCACUCAAGGGAUUUUUGUUUUCACAAGUGAAAACGUUUAUGAAAUGCUAGCCUGCGAAGCCGCUUCAGGAACCAUCUAGUGAGAUUUCCCUCCCAAGACAGGCAGCUUUCUCACAUACCGUGGAGGCCUCCUGCCGGCCUGGGGACUGACAGGUGCAGGGCCCUGCCCCUCGAGGGCCAGCCUCUCCCUCGGGAGCGUGGGUUUUUCCUGUUUGAUCCUGGCUUAACUUGAACAUCUCUGGCAUUGGAGCUGCCCUCUGGAGUAGCCCAGAAGUUGGCACUCACCUCACCUUUUGCUGCAUUUCCAAGAGAUCAGCCUUUGGACUUCCUGGAAAGUGGUAGAACCACUGUCCUAUGAAACAAAGUGCUUCUGUGCUGAAAUGGAGUAAGUUCCCUGCAGCCUCUGGCAAGCACCUCCUGGAGUAGGUGUUCCUAUCAUCCUCUCUUUAUAGCUCAGGAGCCAAAGCUCAGCCAGCCCGAAGGAGCCAGGAUUAGAGCCUGCAUGGAUGCAACAGUCACGCUUCUCUCUAUUACGUGUCUUGCAACUUGGAGUCACAUGAUCUCAGCAUCUGAUCCACCCUGGGCUCAGAACCUCCCAGAACCUCCCAGAAUCGAGGCUCACGGCAGAGGUUCUGCACUCACCAAGGACGCGGGGGGACCAUGUCUGUGCUCAUGUGGAUCCCCGCUGCUGGGCAGAGCACACCACACAUCCAGACUCAACAAAAUACAUGGAGUCAAAGGUCAGGUGACUGAAUCAAUGAGUAUGUUACACACCAAGAAAGACCCCUCCUCUCUGCACCCCGGGGAGCAGCCCCAGAAGCCUGGUCUCCUCCAGGAUGAAAAUGCAAACGCAGGUGCCUGGGGGCUCCCAGAGCCUUUGGCUUCACGGUUCCCUCCCGGCCCUGCCUGGAGCUUCAUGUGCCUCCCCUUUUGCUUAAUGAGAGCCGCUGUCUAAGAGUUAAGGGUUUUCUGGGUGACGUUUAACAAUAAUAAAGGUGACUGCUUAUCUAAGGAAUCCGA